UACGUAGGUGGCAAGCGUUGUCCGGAUUUAUUGGGUUUAAAGGGUGCGUAGGCGGUUCUGUAAGUCAGUGGUGAAAUACUCUAGCUUAACUAGAGGGGUGCCAAUGAUACUGCAGAACUUGAGUACAGAUGAGGUAGGCGGAAUUGACGGUGUAGCGGUGAAAUGCAUAGAUAUCGUCAAGAACACCUAUAGCGAAGGCAGCUUACUGGGCUGUAACUGACGCUGAGGCACGAAAGUGUGGGGAUCAAACAGG
rnacentral:rRNA from 1 species